UGGGGAAUUUUGGACAAUGGGGGAAACCCUGAUCCAGCCAUCCCGCGUGUGCGAUGAAGGCCUUCGGGUUGUAAAGCACUUUUGGCAGGAAAGAAACGUCAUGGGUUAAUACCCCGUGAAACUGACGGUACCUGCAGAAUAAGCACCGGCUAACUACGUGCCAGCAGCCGCGGUAAUACGUAGGGUGCAAGCGUUAAUCGGAAUUACUGGGCGUAAAGCGUGCGCAGGCGGUUCGGAAAGAAAGAUGUGAAAUCCCAGAGCUCAACUUUGGAACUGCAUUUUUCCCUACCCGGCUAGAGUGUGUCCGAGGGAUGUGGAAUUCCGCGUGUAGCAGUGACAUGCGUCGAUAUGCGGAGGAACACCGAUGGCGAAGGCAGCCUCCUGGGAUAACACUGACGCUCAUGCACGAAAGCGUGGGGAGCAAACAGG
rnacentral:rRNA from 1 species